UUUGAUGAAGAUGCCUUUGUAACCUGGGUGAACAGGCACAAAAGUAACAUCUUAAAACAUUUUCCUGUUUCCGAAGAUGAUUCAGAAGAGGAUACAAGUUCGGAAACUGAUGACUAACUGCAAUAUAGGACAAUGGGUACUAGAAUGUAUGUGACAUUUAUAAUACUUAAGCACAAUAUUUGACAAAGCCAAACAUAUGGACAAACAGACUACUGCACAGUAUACAGUAUUCCCACCUUAAUGUACCCUGGAUUACAGAGCCUUCGACAGUAAAUAAUAUGUCUG